CUACGGUGGGCGGGCCGUGGUGUUCGGGAAGCCGGUGCACCGCGUCCGUCACGAGAGUGUGCGGCGCGGGAGUCCGGAGCGGCCCUCGCCACUGUGAUCGGGGAGUCGUCGGCUCCCACCCCGUGCCACUGGCCGCCCGCGGCCGGGAAGGCCGGGAGCCGGCGCGCAACACCCCGUCAGCCAGGAGACCGGCCACGGCAUCUCACGAAGU
rnacentral:ncRNA from 2 species